rnacentral:siRNA from 1 species
UAUAUACGCCCGCAGUGUACCGC